rnacentral:sRNA from 1 species
ACUUGGGUGGCUGGGGCAGAACGAUUCAUUGAGCUCAGGAUUCUGGCUUUUGUGAGUGAUCUAUGCCCACUAGGGACCACACUAACUUUGGCAUCAAUAUGGUAGCUUGUCUGAAGUGCAGGCAACCGGGUUGCCUGUGGAGGAGUAAACUGGUUCAGGUCAGAAGCACAACAUGUCAAAACUCACAGGGCUGUCAGUAGUGGGAUUGCACCUUCUUCACUGCAGCCUGA